rnacentral:rRNA from 1 species
UAAUGUACCUUCUCUUCGGAGCAACAGUGACAGGUGGUGCAUGGUUGUCGUCAGCUCGUGUCGUGAGAUGUUGGGUUAAGUCCCGCAACGAGCGCAACCCCUGUCCUUAGUAGCCAGCGGUUAGGCUGGGCACUCUAGGGAGACUGCCAGGGAUAACCUGGAGGAAGGCGGGGAUGACGUCAAAUCAUCAUGCCCCUUAUGACUUGGGCUACACACGUGCUACAAUGGCGUAAACAAAGGGAAGCGGAGCCGUGAGGCCGAGCAAAUCUCAAAAAUAACGUCUCAGUUCGGACUGUAGUCUGCAACCCGACUACACGAAGCUGGAAUCGCUAGUAAUCGCAAAUCAAAAUGCUGCGGUGAAUACGUUCCCGGGUCUUGUAC